AGCAGUAGCCACGGGAAUACAGAGGGUGCAAGCGUUAAUCGGAAUUACUGGGCGUAAAGCGCGCGUAGGUGGUUUGUUAAGUUGGAUGUGAAAUCCCCGGGCUCAACCUGGGAACUGCAUCCAAAACUGGCAAGCUAGAGUAUGGUAGAGGGUGGUGGAAUUUCCUGUGUAGCAGUGAAAUGCGUAGAUAUAGGAAGGAACACCAGUGGCGAAGGCGACCACCUGGACUGAUACUGACACUGAGGUGCGAAAGCGUGGGGAGCAAACAGGAUUAGAUACCCGCGUAGUCCCUGUCUCUUAUAA
rnacentral:rRNA from 1 species